rnacentral:rRNA from 1 species
AUUGAACGCUGGCGGCAGGCCUAACACAUGCAAGUCGAGCGGGCGGCGGACGGGUGAGUCAUGUAUGGGUAUCUGCCCGAUGGAGGUGGCUAACUACUGCAAACGGUGGCUACUACCGCAUCCUGUCGGAUGUACCCCUAUGUGAUUAGCUAGUAGGUUAGGUAAUGGCUUACCAAGGCGACGAUCCCUAGCUGGUCUGAGAGGAUGAUCAGCCACACGGGGACUGAGACACGGCCCAGACUCCUACGGGAGGCAGCAGUGGGGAAUAUUGCACAAUGGGCGCAAGCCUGAUGCAGCCAUGCCGCGUGUAUGAAGAAGGCCCUAGGGUUGUAAAGUACUUUAAGUUGGGAGGCGUUACCGACAGAAGAAGCACCGGCUAACUUCGUGCCAGCAGCCGCGGUAAUUC